AAUAAAAGAAAGAAAACAAAUUAGGAAGAAGAAGAAAUAGAAAAAUGAGUUUUCAAUCAAAGAUUGAUAUUUUUCUUUUAUUUCUUCUUCUUCAUUUGUUUUCUUUUUUCUUUU
rnacentral:ribozyme from 1 species